rnacentral:rRNA from 1 species
GAUGAACGCUGGCGGCGUGCCUAAUACAUGCAAGUCGAGCGAACAGACGAGGAGCUUGCUCCUCUGACGUUAGCGGCGGACGGGUGAGUAACACGUGGAUAACCUACCUAUAAGACUGGGAUAACUUCGGGAAACCGGAGCUAAUACCGGAUAAUAUAUUGAACCGCAUGGUUCAAUAGUGAAAGACGGUUUUGCUGUCACUUAUAGAUGGAUCCGCGCCGCAUUAGCUAGUUGGUAAGGUAACGGCUUACCAAGGCAACGAUGCGUAGCCGACCUGAGAGGGUGGUCGGCCACACUGGAAGUGAGACACGGUCCAGACUCCUACGGGAGGCAGCAGUCGGGAAUCUUCCGCAAUGGGCGAAAGCCUGACGGAGCAACGCCGCGUGAGUGAUGAAGGUCUUCGGUUCGUAAAACUCUGUUAUUAGGGAAGAACAAAUGUGUAAGUAACUAUGCACGUCUUGACGGUACCUAAUAAGAAAGCCACGGCUAACUACGUG